rnacentral:rRNA from 1 species
UACGUAGGUGGCAAGCGUUGUCCGGAUUUACUGGGCGUAAAGGGAACGCAGGCGGACUUUUAAGUAGGAAGUGAAAGGUUGGAGCUCAACUCUAACACUGCUCCCUAUACUGGAAGUCUUGAGUAGCGGAGAGGAAAGCGGAACGACACGUGUAGCGGUGAAAUGCGUUGAUAUGUGUCGGAACACCCAUGGCGAAAGCAGCUUUCUGGACGCACACUGACGCUCAUGUUCGAAAGCCAAGGUAGCAAACAGG